rnacentral:lncRNA from 1 species
AUUUGCAGGUGGGGGAAAGUAAGAGAAGUUGACUAAUGGAUCAUGGAAAAGAACUCUGGAAAUUGGAAACAAUCAAUCAGAAGCAUUCCUACUGCUGCCCGUCCUUCCAUGCCAUGGGAGGGACAAAGGCAUGCGCUCUACUCUCUAGGACCUUGCACUGAAAUGGAAAGAGUACUCAAGACACGUGUCCUACAUCAUUGUCAUCCCAGUGUUACACAAGUGAGGAUUCGGAGGCCAUCAAGUCCCUGGCGUGCUCACCUGUCAAGAAAGAAGACGGAAAGCUGUAGAUGGCCAUUCUGUUGAGUUUUGAAAGAUUCAGAGUAAAACUCUGAUGCUGUAUCCUGAUCUUUCCCAAAUAAGCCUGCUACUUUAUUUGAGGAGGCACGGCAAGCACACCAGUUCUGUUGACUGCAACAUUGCAUCGGAUGACCAGUGAUAAAUAAUGCAAAGUUUGCUCACGUUAUUGGCUGGCUUAGAAAAAUCAAUCCAGAGACUCACAUUUAUUGUUCACCAAAAUGCAUGGAUCAAUUAAUAUGCAUUGUUUACUCCUGGGUUUUAAUCAGACUUGAAACAAAUACUCUGUGUUAUGAGACCUCAAGGGAGUAAGAUGUGCACCGGUUCCCAGCACGGAGGCAGAAUCUUUCCAUUUUCUCAUUUUAAGUAUAGAUCUGAUGAGGAGGAAGAAUAUCCCGUGAGUUUCACUGUCCACAUUAUUGCUAGAUUGACUCCCCCCUCCCACUUUCUUGCCUAUGGAGAAUCAAGGUAAAUUCAAUAGGCAAGGGAUGGAUGAGCUUCCUUUUGUCCGAGGGGGAAAAAAAUCACAAGGGUUUGGGAGCCUGUUUAAUUAAAGCAGCAUAAGCCUUGAUAAGGGGCUGUCCAUGAAUAUUCUGUUUAAUACAGAUCCAGGUGACUCUCUUCUUCCAAGAGCCAUCCUGGCCACUCCUCAUAGCUCUCCAAUUUUCAGGUAAGAACCCUGGAUAAUAAAGACACAAGUAACCUGUUCA